rnacentral:misc_RNA from 1 species
UGAGAGCAUUCAACUUCACAUCAGUGUGUGUCUGAGUAGCUAUCAAGGAACACUUACAUUUAUCUGCUUGGGUAAAAAAACAGCAGGAGCUCAUUAUUGCUCACGGCUAUCCAUUUCAUUGGACUGCCCAAAAAAUUUCAUGCUUAAAUCUCAUAAUUGUUCAGGAAAAACAGGCCAGCUGAGACAUAUUGGUGUUUAUGUUUCAAAUGAUUGGAUUGAAGUUCACAAGGUUUUUCUUCUUGCUAAAUGAAGAUUGUGAAAAUAUGAGAUGAUUCACAGGUGCCAGAUUUUGAUAUACAUGCAGUUUCGAGGAAUAGUUGAUUCUAGGAAACUGAAAACAAGUGGCAUUACUGUCCACCAAGUAGUUUGAUACAGCAUACUUUCAACUAUGUGAAAACACAAAAAUUACUUAGCUGUGUGGCAUAACUUGAACAACUGCAUUUGAUUAAAAGUAAAAGAUACUAGGAGAUCAUGAUGAAAAAUAUGGAGCUUAAUAGCAAACCUAUGAAUGAAGUCAGACUAGUGCUGCUGCUAUAAGAGGUACUUUCCUGUGAAGUUUUUAUGGUUGUCAGCAGCUCUAUAAUGUAGCAUACCAGAAACAGAUACCUUGGAAGCAAUGCUAUUGUCCUGAAAUGGAAAGCGAUAGCUAUAAAAAAGGGACUUUGCAGUGACAUCAUUUUGGAUGUGCAUACCAUGAGAUUGUAAAACUUUACACAAAGUCAAUGACUGGAUUUAGAAAAAAUAUAUGGAUAAUGCUUGAUUUCACUGAUAUGUGUUCUGGCACCAAUCUAUCUGAAACUGAUAUUUCUUUAUGCAAUUCCAGCCCAGAGGAGCUACAGAAUAUGCUGUACAACCUCAGCACUCCAAGGUUGAGUUUGGUGGAUUAUCCUGUGAGCAAAGGGAUCAUAGUGGCUGUCUACUCUAUACUGAUAGCUAUGGGAGUCCUGGAAAAUGUCUUCAUUGUGUAUAUAGUCUUCCGUCGUCGCCACAUGAGAACGGUAACCAACAUUUUCAUCUGUACUCUUGCCAUUUCUGAUAUAACUCUCCUGACUUUUAAUACUCCACUCCAGCUGUACUACCAACUGGUAAAAAACUGGCCCUUUGGACGGGUGAUGUGCAAAGUCUUAUUUGCAUCUUUUGCUAUUCCAAUAUAUACUUCCACCUUAACAAUGCUGAUGAUUGCUUUUGAUCGGUACCGUCUGAUAUUGCAUCCGAUGAAGCCAAGAAUCUCCAAGAGGACCGCAGUGCUACUGAUAUGCAUGUCAAACAUGAUUGCCUUUGUCAUUGCAAUACCCUUGUUUAUCUACACAGAUUUAUGGGAAGAUGAUCAAAAUAAAAGUUUCAAGGCUUUAAUGGAGACUCAGAGGGUAUUAUGUGCCGAGGAAAAUUGGCCAAAUAAAGAUCAGAAGAGUAUCUACACUGUAGUAACCUUUGUCACUCAGUUUCUUGCUCCUUUGGUCAUUGCUAUCGUCCUUUAUGGGCAGAUCUAUCUACGAUUAAAGAAUCGCAAAAAACCUUCCGAACGUAAAACCAGAACCACCAAAAUUUUGGCAGCCAUUGUGAUUCUCUUCAUCAUCUGCUGGUUGCCAUGGAGUUUAUUCUCAACUGUACUCAUUUUGAGGUUAUACUAUUCAGACAACACUUCUGAUAACUACGACACAUUGUAUGAUUUAAUUUUGAAAGCAUUUGCUGUGAGUUCUGCUUGCAUUAACCCUUUUCUUUAUGGAUGGCUGAAUGAAAACUACCGAAAAGAGCUGCGUUACAUAAUUGAUAAAAUCACAGGAACACGACGAAGCUCGACAUAUGAAAUUGCACUUCCCACUGAGGCCCCUUCUAAUGCUCCAUCAAAUGCAUUUGGUCCACCAGAGGAGCGAGAGGCUUCUGUCUCACCUGACCUUGAAACUACAAAAAUGUCAAAAUAUCCAUCAAAUACAAAUGUGACAACUCUGACACCACAAAGAAGUGUCCAAAACAAAAAUUAUCUAGAUGUGCCCCAAAAUGGCAAAAAAGCUACACCCAAAGAGCAGUUCCUAGGACCUCCACCAUGUAACGGACUGAAGGUAAAACUUGUUGGAGCUGAAAAGGGCAGCCUAAACCAUGAAGUAAAAAUUGAGACAGUAGCCAUCAUGAAAGAUAAUGACUCCACUGGAAGUCAAGUUUGCCUAUAGUGCCCAACGUGGAUUUUUUGCUCAGAAGACUACCAAUUUAUGAAGACAUAUUUUUGAAGUAGCUGAUUUCAUAGCCACCAAUGACAGACUUGAAAAUGUAUCCAAAGAUAGGUUUCACACCAAGGGUAACACUGAAAAAUUCUAUCACUGAUACAGAAUAUAUCUUCCUAAUAUAAAAAUGAACUUAGAUGACAAGAACAUUUAUGUCUAUUUAUAUUAAUUUUAUUGAUAAAAAUGUCAAUGGAACAAUGAGCUUGCAGUAUCACUUAUUUACCAUAUCAAGGGUUCUCCAGCUUCAAUGUAAAUGAUAAAUUUAGAGAAGGAUACCAUAACAACAGUCCCUGGAAACCAUGUUGCUUGGUGAAACAAACCCCAGGUCAGCAGGACCCUGAAGAAAAACAGUCUACCUGCCAGGGUAGUGACAUGUAUUUUCACCUGUUUUUACCUGUAAUAAUACUAUAUUAAAAUCAUUUCAGGUGAUCUUGCUUUUUCUGAAGCAAAGAUAUAAGAUUGUAUUCUGGCUUUUUUCUGAAGCAAAGACUUCAGAAUGUAUGUUGUAUAAUGAUAGGUGUGUGCAAAUAGAACCUACAAUUCAAAAAGCUUGUAAUAAAUCAACUUCCUGUACAUUUGUAUGUAACAUCCGUAACAACUGAAAGAAUCACGAUAAAUUAUGCUACGUGUCAUAGGUAGAGCUGUUUGUUUGUUUUUCUUUGUGGUUGGUUGGUUUCGUUGGUUACUUGAUUGUUUGAUUGGUUUUUAUUUAUACAAGGAUAAUGAAAAAAUGUUGAGAUAUAAAUGGAUGUAUACAGCGUAUGUUAGAUUUCAGAUAUAACCUUACAAAAACAUGUUCAUGCUGGUGUUAAAUAUGUGCAAAUUGCCACAGGAAAACAAGGGCAGAUGAAAGAUCAUAUGAAGUUAUGAUGUAGAUAUCUACAAGAAAAUUGUAUACUUUUGGAUAAUAUUUUCAUGAAAAGUGUCUCAUUUCUCUAACACAUCCUGUUUAUCCAAUUUUCACGUUAUAUGGCUCCUGACCAGUAAUAAUGACUUUUUUUGUCAGUCAUAAAAAAAUAUUAGAUAAAAAUAAAAGUGCCACUUGAACAAUUGGAUAAAAAUUUGUGUUGAAGUGAGCCUUGCAUGGGCUUAUUAUCAUAUUUAUCUGUUAUCUUAAAAUCUAUUUAAGCAUGUUUGUUAGAUAAACCAAACUGAGUCAUACAGCUGAAAAGGGUUUACUACAUGUUUUAUUACUGAUGUAGUAUUACUGUAUUACAUAUAUUCAAAGUUUUACUUUGGCCAUUUCUUGAUCAGCUGCAUCUGUAAAAAAGUUAUGUUAUGAGAACUUGUGGAAUAAAAACCUCU